AUCCCUGAUGAAAGCAUUCUACACGACCUCUUUUAAUGCGUUUUUGUAGUCUGUCAACUGAAUAGGACUGCUAUGGAAAGUAUCAACAAUUCAAAGUGCCAAAACUUAUCUGCCAUUAAAGGGGCUUAAAGCUCAAUUUCUAAAAAUUGAUUUGCCGCAAAAGAACUUCGUUUAGAGUGAGUGAUAUCUCAAAAGAAUUGGAACAUCGAGGGGGUUCGAAUCUAAAAUUUGGGUUGAGGAAUACUGGGUCAGGUAGCAUGCACUGAUGCGUUUGAAUCUGCAAUGGAGACCUAAUGGUGAGAGUUGUUGGAUUUUCAUAUUUUUGCCUCUUUUUGUUUGAAAGAUUAUUGGAUCAUUAGGUUAUAUUGAAGUGCAUCUAUUUUCUUGGAUAUGGACGAUAAUAGUAGAUUUAAGUGCA